rnacentral:rRNA from 1 species
AUUGAACGCUGGCGGCAGGCCUAACACAUGCAAGUCGAGCGGAUGAAGGGAGCUUGCUCCUGCAUUCAGCGGUGGACGGGUGAGUAAUGCCUAGGAAUCUGCCUGGUAGUGGGGGAUAACGUCCGGAUACGGGCGCUAAUACCGCAUCCGUCCUGUGGGCGACAGUGGGGGAUCUUCGGACGUCACGCUAUCAGAUGAGCGUAGGUCGGAUUGGCUCGUAGGUGGGGUAACGGCCUACCAAGGCUACGAUCCGUCACUGGUCUGAGAGGAUGAUCAGUCAGACUGGAUCUGAGACACAGUCCAGACUCCUACGGGAGGAAGCAGUGGGGAAUAUUGGACGAUGGACGAAAGCCUGAUCCAGCCAUGCCGCGUGUAUCAAGAAGGUCUUCGGAUUGUAAAGCACUUAAAGUUGGGAGGAAGGGCAGUAAGUUAAUACCUUACGGUAUUGACGUUACCAACAGAAUAAGCACCGGCUAACUUCGUG